rnacentral:RNase_P_RNA from 1 species
AGAGAAGGCUGGACGGUCGCCGGCGCGGGGCAACUCGCGCGGGAGGAAAGUCCGGGCUCCGCAGGGCAGGGUGCUGGCUAACGGCCAGGGGGGGCAACCCCACGGACCAGUGCCACAGAAAACAAACCGCCGUCCGGCAACGGGCGGUAAGGGUGAAACGGUGAGGUAAGAGCUCACCAGCGGCGCGGGUGACCGCGCCGGCUCGGUAAACCCCACCCGGAGCAAGGCCCAAUAGGAGAGCGAUCCGGUCCGCAAGGACUGGUGAAGCGCGGCCCGCGUGGCGCUCUCGGGUAUGGCCGCUGGAGGCGCCGGGCAACCGGCGUCCUAGAGAAAUGACCGUCUCCUCGGGCUCACGCCCGGGUGACAGGACCCGGCUUACAGGCCCUCUCUGGUG